rnacentral:rRNA from 1 species
UACGUAGGGGGCAAGCGUUGUCCGGAAUUAUUGGGCGUAAAGCGCGCGCAGGCGGUCCUUUAAGUCUGAUGUGAAAGCCCACGGCUCAACCGUGGAGGGUCAUUGGAAACUGGGGGACUUGAGUACAGAAGAGAAGAGUGGAAUUCCACGUGUAGCGGUGAAAUGCGUAGAGAUGUGGAGGAACACCAGUGGCGAAGGCGACUCUUUGGUCUGUAACUGACGCUGAGGCGCGAAAGCGUGGGGAGCAAACCGG